rnacentral:rRNA from 1 species
UACGGAGGAUCCGAGCGUUAUCCGGAUUUAUUGGGUUUAAAGGGUGCGUAGGCGGCCUUUUAAGUCAGCGGUGAAAGUCUGUGGCUCAACCAUAGAAUUGCCGUUGAAACUGGGGGGCUUGAGUAUGUUUGAGGCAGGCGGAAUGCGUGGUGUAGCGGUGAAAUGCAUAGAUAUUACACAGAACACCGAUUGCGAAGGCAGCUUGCUAGGCCGGAUCUGACACUGAUGCACGAAAGCGUGGGGAUCGAACAGG